rnacentral:rRNA from 1 species
GGACCCGCACAAGCAGUGGAGCAUGUGGUUUAAUUCGACGCAACGCGAAGAACCUUACCAGCGUUUGACAUGGGAAGUACCGGUUACAGAAUGGUAACCUUCAGUUCGGCUGGCUUCCGCACAGGUGCUGCAUGGCUGUCGUCAGCUCGUGUCGUGAGAUGUUGGUUAAGUCCCGCAACGAGCGCAACCCUUAUCGUUAGUUACUAACAGUUCGGCUGAGGACUCUAGCGAAACUGCCGGUGAUAAGCCGGAGGAAGGUGGGGAUGACGUCAAGUCCUCAUGGCCCUUACACGCUGGGCUACACACGUGCUACAAUGGUAACUACAACGGGACGCAAUACCGCGAGGUGGAGCA